rnacentral:sRNA from 1 species
CACAGUAUUUAUUAGUUAUUACACACAGAUCUGUAGUAUCUCUUGAUUUAUGCCGCCUACCAUUCCCAUGAUACCUUCCUUCCAGCGUGGUGGGGCGGAUGACGAUGAUGCUCGCUACUAGGAAGGAAGGGAAAAACGAGCACGAGCUCGCUUGAGAAUGCAAUCUCUCUGGACUCUGGACUCUGGACUCUGGACACUGGACACUGGACACUGCAGCUAACUAACUACCUCUCUUAUUUUUUAUUUGCCAUAGCUAUCUUUUAAUUUACUAAUUACAAUAUAUAUAUAUAUAUAUAAAUUGUUUUUUUUUACAAAAAAAAAAUAAAAAUAAAAAUAAAAAGUUAAAAAACACA